GAGGUAAUGGCGAGGUUUGCUAUUCAAAGUAUGGCUCUUAUCCAUUGAGAGGGAAAUAUUGCCAUGAAAUGGCUUUGAGGAUCCUUCUUGCCAGCAUAGAGAGCCAUGCAAAUCGCUACAAGCGUUACAUUGUCCCUGUGCUAUCUGUCCAAAUAGACUUCUACAUUCGAGUUUUUGUUCGUAUAUACACCUCUGCAAGUGCAAUGAAAAACACUCCUCUUAAGCUUUCCUAUGUUUAUCAAUGCAUUGGUUGUGAUUC
rnacentral:misc_RNA from 1 species